CAACAGUACCUAAAGCCCUUUUGAUGUGCUUUCUAUUUACACUUUUUAUUAAUACUAGUCUUCCAGUAUUCAGAGUUUAUUUCAAUUUUUUUUUUUUUCAAGUAAAGGAAGAACAUAUAAGGGUGGUCUUCACAGAUAUUACUUCUGAGUCAUGGGUGAGGUGAAUCCACCAUCUCAUCUUUGCCAGAACUGUGAUUACAUGAU
rnacentral:lncRNA from 1 species